GAUGAACGCUGGCGGCGUGCUUAACACAUGCAAGUCGAACGAUGAAGCCCAGCUUGCUGGGUGGAUUAGUGGCGAACGGGUGAGUAACACGUGAGUAACCUGCCCUUAACUCUGGGAUAAGCCUGGGAAACUGGGUCUAAUACCGGAUAGGAGCGUCCACCGCAUGGUGGGUGUUGGAAAGAUUUAUCGGUUUUGGAUGGACUCGCGGCCUAUCAGCUUGUUGGUGAGGUAAUGGCUCACCAAGGCGACGACGGGUAGCCGGCCUGAGAGGGUGACCGGCCACACUGGGACUGAGACACGGCCCAGACUCCUACGGGAGGCAGCAGUGGGGAAUAUUGCACAAUGGGCGCAAGCCUGACGCAGCCAUGCCGCGUGAAUGAUGAAGGUCUUAGGAUUGUAAAAUUCUUUCACCGGGGACGAUAAUGACGGUACCCGGAGAAGAAGCCCCGGCUAACUUCGUG
rnacentral:rRNA from 1 species